AGUGAACGCUGGCGGCAGGCCUAAUACAUGCAAGUCGAACGGCAGCACAGCAGAGCUUGCUCUGUGGGUGGCGAGUGGCGGACGGGUGAGGAAUACGUGGGAAUCUGCCCAGUCGUGGGGGAUAACGUAGGGAAACUUACGCUAAUACCGCAUGCGCCCUUCGGGGGAAAGCCGGGGACCGUUCGGGCCUGGCGCGAUUAGAUGAGCCCACGUCGGAUUAGCUAGUUGGCGGGGUAAAGGCCCACCAAGCGACGAUCCGUAGCUGGUCUGAGAGGAUGAUCAGCCACACUGGAACUGAGACACGGUCCAGACU
rnacentral:rRNA from 1 species